AGCAACUCUGAAAACGAGAUCCGUCCCGAUCUACUGUACGUGGUAUCUCUUCGCCCCGGGCCACAAUUUUUGUCUCAAGUACAUACAUACGGUCGUCUUUUUAUUCUUUGACGGGUGUUGGUCUGAAGCAGAGUCUUCGUUUUCUCACACGGUGGUUUGAACGGCCGCGUAUUCCUCUCCUUCCCUGUCUUAAAUUAUUUCAUUAAGUCGUCAUUUUCACUCGACAAUUAAACGCACACAGUACUCGGUGAGAUCUGGACAUUAUAAGUAUCGACACAAGAAGCUGCAGUUGUCAUCACGCAUCAAUCUCCUCUUGACAGAACGAGGUACACUAGUGAUCAACUAAUUAAGCUGUCCUUUGCGUAGCUGGCUAGCUAGUGAGUUAGUGAGGAUCAAUGGCAUCCCAGCUGGAGUCACUCAUGAAGCGACUGUGGAGCUAUCUCCCCUCUUCUCUUAGCAGUUCCAGGAGCGACCCUCCGCAGCAGAUUCCUGAUCCCACCGGUGAUCCUCCAGCCGCUCAAGCCGGGGACACUCCCGCCGGUCAGGAGCUUCCACCCGCUCUUCAAGUUUCAGAUCUUGAGCAACUCCAAAGUCUUAACCAUAUAGGACGCCUUGAUGGUGCACUUGAGCCCGAUCUGGCCGGCAAGCCAAAGCUUGGCAGUUCCACCAGUUUCCCUCGACACAAAAUUCAUGAGCCUGUCGGCGAUUACUCCUCUCAGGAAGGAUCACGAAGGCUCGCGAUAGGGCAACCCGAUGGGACCCACCAAGGGCCCGUGCACCGCCGUGGUGUGAGCCUCCCCUAGGGUUUGUUCGGAUGCUUCUCGGCCGAGGCCUUCAUCUAUAUAGAAGACCUUUAGAUAUAUUUUAAGGAAGACAUAUUGUUUCUUAGGCAUCCUGCCGAAGGAGGAAUUCAUUGCUGAACUUUAGCAAUAUCAUCAUCACUAGAUAUGUAGAAAUCUCUCUUUGUAUGUUUUAUAUGUAUACAUUAUGUGAGCUGCAACAUAUGAUUAUGAUUAUCUA